AAGAGACAGCAGUAGCCGCGGGAAUACGGAGGGUGCAAGCGUUAAUCGGAAUUACUAGGCGUAAAGCGCACGCAGGCGGUCUGACAAGUCAGAUGUGAAAUCCCCGGGCUUAACCUGGGAACUGCAUUUGAAACUGUCAGGCUGGAGUCUUGUAGAGGGGGGUGGAAUUCCAGGUGUAGCGGUGAAAUGCGUAGAGAUCUGGAGGAAUACCGGUGGCGAAGGCGGCCCCCUGGACAAAGACUGACGCUCAGGUGCGAAAGCGUGGGGAGCAAACAGGAUUAGAUACCCCGGUAGUCCCUGUCUCUUAUAC
rnacentral:rRNA from 1 species